rnacentral:rRNA from 1 species
AAGGAUUCCCUAGUAACGGCGAGUGAAGCGGGAAGAGCUCAAAUUUGUAAUCUGGCCCUUUCAGGGUCCGAGUUGUAAUCUCGAGAAGUGUUUUCCGCGCCGGACCGCAUACAAGUCUGUUGGAAUACAGCGUCAUAGUGGUGAGAGCCCCGUAAUUGAUGUGGAUGCCCGGUGCUUUGUGAUACACUUUCGAAGAGUCGAGUUGUUUGGGAAUGCAGCUCAAAUUGGGUGGUAAAUUCCAUCUAAAGCUAAAUAUUGGCGAGAGACCGAUAGCGAACAAGUACCGUGAGGGAAAGAUGAAAAGCACUUUGGAAAGAGAGUUAACAGUACGUGAAAUUGUUGGAAGGGAAACGCUUGAAGUCAGACUUGCUAUUCGGAAUUCAGCCGCAAGGUGUACUUUUCGAUUUGCAGGCCAGCAUCAGUUUUUGGGGGUGGAAAAGGGUGGAGAGAAGGUAGCAACCUUGGUUGUGUUAUAGCUCUUUACUGGAUUCAUCUUUGGGGACUGAGGAUCGCAGUGCGCAAUUUACUUUGCAAACC